UACGUAGGGGGCAAGCGUUAUCCGGAUUUACUGGGUGUAAAGGGAGCGUAGACGGCAGGGCAAGUCUGGAGUGAAAGGCAGGGGCCCAACCCCUGGACUGCUCUGGAAACUGUCCGGCUGGAGUGCAGGAGAGGUAAGUGGAAUUCCUAGUGUAGCGGUGAAAUGCGUAGAUAUUAGGAGGAACACCAGUGGCGAAGGCGGCUUACUGGACCGUAACUGACGUUGAGGCUCGAAAGCGUGGGGAGCAAACAGG
rnacentral:rRNA from 1 species